GGCCACAUCACGUUGAAACACCAGCUCCCGUACGAUCGCCGAAGUUAAGCCACGUCGAGCCUGGUCAGUACUUAGAUGGGUGACCGCUUGGGAAUACUAGGUACUGUAAG
rnacentral:rRNA from 1 species